GUGCUCAUUUCGGCAGCACAUAUACUAAAGUUGGAACGAUAUAGAGAUUAGCAUGGCCCCUACGCAAGGAUAACAUGCAAAUUCAUGAAGCAUACCAUAUUUUU